rnacentral:misc_RNA from 1 species
AAGUCGUAACAAGGUUUCCGUAGGUGAACCUGCGGAAGGAUCAUUAAACCACUAGGAUUUCCUAGUUCAGGGGGCCUUGAAGCUGAAAAGUGUAAAGAGGCCCCCGUCUGCACCCUUGUCUAUUGCGCACUCUUGUUUCCUCGGCGGGCUUGCCCGCCGAUAGGACAACUUCAACCCUUUUAAUUUUAAAUCAGCGUCUGAAAACUAUAAUAUUUACAACUUUCAACAACGGAUCUCUUGGUUCUG